rnacentral:lncRNA from 1 species
ACUUCCGGGUCGGCCGAGCACACCUGGCGGCGUGGCGGACGCCUGAAGUGUGACAGUGGCGCGCGCCCCCGCCCCAGAACGGGGACUCGAGGGACUUUGCCCACCCCUGCAACAGCCCUCCCGCGCUGUCUCCCGGGCAGGGAGAAGGCUGGGCUCCCCCACCUGCCCCUGGCCGUCAGGUGGCUGUGGAGAAGCGGAGGCGCGGGCGCUCGGCCUUAACGUCCCGGGCUCUGGGGCCAUCCGUGACUCCCACACGCGGAGCACCUGCAGUUUGGGGAGGGAGGGAUCUGGGAGCGAUCGGCCAAAGCCUGGGGCUGCCGAGGAAAUGGCUCUUCGGAAUUAGGGAUCUGAGAGUGUGAGAUUUGACCUUUGUAGGCUGGUGGCGGCUGUGCAAUCUCUAGCUCCACCCACUCCCUCCAAAAGCUUUGUCCUCUGACAGCUCUGCGAAGGUUUUAGCUGAGUAUUUGUGAGCACGUAUUUCUUUUGCAGUAUUUUUAAAAAUCCUCUUGAUCUGAGGCAACUUCGCUGGCUUCCUCCCCAUUCCCUUGGGCAGGUUGAGAGUGUUGGUUCCUGGCCUGACCUCAGAAACUCAGAGAAGCACAGGAUGGGCAUAAACUACUUUAUCCAAAAGGCAGAACUUUGCAAACACAGUCGUAUCUGCUGUGUCUUUUUUGAUGUAAGUAGGAAUGAUGAGUAGGGUGAAGUCACAGGUAAACAACCCAAAACGAAUUUCCAUGCCCUCCCCACGGAUCCUAAAGCAGGGACUGGAGAUGGGGAGAGAGGCUAGAUGUACUUGGAACAAAAUUCACCUUGUAUUUAUUACCUGGGCGCUGGUGUUUUUUGAAAAAAGCAAACAAGAUAACCAUAUUAGUCUGAUGCUGAGACUAUGCCCUAUCUGUAAGAAUCCUUGGGCUGGGCGCGGUGGCUCACCCUUGUAAUCCCAACACUUGGAGGCCAAGGUGGGCGGAUCACCUGAGGUCAGGAGUUCGAGACCAGCAUGGCCAACAUGGUGAAACCCCGUCUCUACUAAACAUACAAAAAUUAGCUGGGUGUGGUGGUGGGCGCCUGUAAUCCCAGCUACUCAGGAGGCUGAGGCACGAGAAUCCCUUGAACCUAGGAGGCGGAGGUUGCAGCGAGCUGAGAUGUCGCCACUGCACUCCAGCCUGGGCGACAGAGCGAGACUCCGUCUCAAAAGAAAAGAAAAGAAAAGAAAAAAAGGCAGGGCACAGUGGCUCACGCCUGUAAUCCUAGCACUUUGGGAGGCCGAGGCAGGCAGAUCGCUUGAGGUCAGGAAUUCCAGACCAGCCUGGCCAACAUGGUGAAAACCUGUCUCUACUAAAAAUACAAAAAUUAGCUGGGUAUGGUGGCGCACGCCUGUAAUCCGAGCUACUAGGGAGGCUGAGACAGGAGAAUCGCUUGUACCUGGGAGGUGGAGGUUGCAAUGAGCUGAGAUCGUGCCAUUGCACUCCAGCAGCCUGGACAACAGAGCAAUACUUGGUCUAAAAAAAAAAAAAAGAAAGAAAUGCAACGUAGGUCUCUCACGAAAUUAGCCCAAAUCUUCAGCCAUCUUCUACAGGCUGUGAAACCAGGAGAGGAAUUGAGUCCAUCUUACCUUGACCUCCCAGGCAGGGAGCGGACCAGGUCUUUUAUUGAAUCAUCUAAAUAUCACAGAUACUUAGGUCUGAGGAGUCAUCCAACAUCGUGUUUCUGUAGCUGGACAACUCUUAGAACCUCCUCAGCAGCCUGCGGAACUGUUCCUUUUUAGGAGACGUAGACAGCACCCCAACAUUUUCUGAUAUCCUUGUUUUUAACUAUUGCUGCUUGCUGAAUCAGAGCAGCUGAAUUUGAACAAGACUGAAACAAGCUCAAUGUCGCUUCCUUCAAAGAUUAAUUCGACAUUCUGGGCUUGAGAUACUGAAUAAGCAACACCUGGCCUCAUCCGAACCCUGCAGAUGGAUUUUCCACCCAAGAUGUUUCAGAUUUCAACGAGAGUCCCGUUCUCCUGGAUAACGACGUUUCUGGGGAAGUGAGCACCCACAGAGGUCAUCUUGUAAUGGAACCCAGGGCAACCCCUUUGACCAUGCUCCGUACACGACUAUGAACAGUCCCAACGGCAGCCGGCUCCCUUCAGUUUCCCCACCGUUUGUCAACCCGGAGCCUCUUUUCCUUUCCAAGGAGACUGAGUUCUACAUUGAUGUGAUUGAAGUCUCUCCUCAAGGCUGUGUGCAGUGGCUCACACCUGUAAUCCCAACACUUUGGGAGGCAGAGGCAGGCGGAUCACUUGAGGCCAGGAGUUUGAGAGCAGCCUGGCCAACAUGGUGAAACCAUGUCUCUACUAAAAAUACAAAAAUUAGCCAGGCGUGGUGGCACAUGCCUGUAGUCUCAGCUACUAGGGAGGCUGAGGCAGGAAAAUUGCUUGAACCCAGGAGGCGGAGGUUGCAGUGAGCCAAGAUCGCACCACUGCACUCCAGCCUGGGCGACAGGGCAAGACCCUGUCUCAAAAAAAUAAAAUAAAUAAAUAAAUAAAUAAAUAAAUAAAGUCCUUCCUCAGGGUUCCUCUCAGGCCCUUCCCAAUAACUGUGUGUUCCUUUAGAGUAAUGUUGACCUUUUCUGGAAUAUCCAU